rnacentral:lncRNA from 1 species
GCGCGUCGCCGCCGCCGCCGCCGGAGCUAUCCCCGCCUCCUCCUCCCUGCAUGUCCUACCAGCAACCCUUCGCCUUCCUCAGAUCUGCAUGCGUCAAGACACCAGUUUUACCAAUCACGCCUGAAAUGAAUUCAACCAAAAGCCCCUGAACAACACAAAUAAAAACGCAGCCUUUUUAAUUACUGCAACCGGUGAGCUUCACACCGAUCGCAUGCGCAUGCGCUCGAACGAAUUCCCGGCAAUCGAUGAAACAAAACCCAAGCGAAGUACUAGUAAGCACUGCGGAAAAACCAGAGCUUUCUGACGAACAAAGCAACGAAAUUGAAGGCGGCCGCAGCCGUACUUAAUGAACCGAGCCACAGAUCGAUACACCGAUCGAAACCGUUUGGUGUUUCUGCUGCUGCUGCUGCAGCUGCAGCUGCUCGAGGACAAGCAACACGAGGAGAUAACUAGGGUUUGGUUUCUUUCUAGUGGGGCGGAUUUGGAUUCGCUGGUCCUGAGAGCGCAGUACGGAGCCCUGAGCUGCAUCCAGCAUCCAUAAUCCCAAGGCCUGAUCUGAAUUCUCGAACCCCCUUCUCACCUCUCUCGCCAGGCUAAUCAUACAGCAGUCCAAGAACUGACACACGCGAAGCCAUCAGACGCGACCCCGACCUGCAGAAUCAGCUCAGCUGCAGCCUGCAGCAGCAAGCGCCAGGAGGAGGAAGAACAAGACAACAGUAGCAGCACUAGACUAGGAGGAGAGAGUACCAGUACCAGUACCAACCCCCUCACCUGCCGCGAUCGGACGGCGACGACGAGGGGCCGGCCGGGCCGCCGCCGUGGCAGCUAGCUAGCCGAUCAACGGAGCUCUGCUGCUGGUGGUGGCGGUGAGGAGUAGUAGCAGUAGGGAGGAGUAGGGUGGGGGCGAGGAGCUGAGAUACAGCCAAAGGGAAAGCGAGCAGCUGAGCUGAGCUUGGCGACGAGGAGGGAGUCGGAGUCGACGCUGGGGUUGGGGUUGGGGUUGGGGGCGA